rnacentral:rRNA from 1 species
UAGGGAAUCUUCCACAAUGGACGAAAGUCUGAUGGAGCAACGCCGCGUGAGUGAAGAAGGGUUUCGGCUCGUAAAGCUCUGUUGUUAAAGAAGAACAUAUCUGAGAGUAACUGUUCAGGUAUUGACGGUAUUUAACCAGAAAGCCACGGCUAACUACGUGCUAG